rnacentral:rRNA from 1 species
GCGACGAUGCGUAGGGGUUCUGAGAGGAAGGUCCCCCACACUGGUACUGAGACACGGACCAGACUCCUACGGAAGGCAGCAG